GUGGGGAAUAUUGGGCAAUGGGGGAAACCCUGACCCAGCAACGCCGCGUGAAGGAAGAAGGUUUUCGGAUCGUAAACUUCUAUCCUUGGUGAAGAUAAUGACGGUAGCCAAGAAGGAAGCCCCGGCUAACUACGUGCCAGCAGCCGCGGUAAUACGUAGGGGGCAAGCGUUGUCCGGAAUGAUUGGGCGUAAAGGGCACGUAGGCGGCCUGGUAAGUCUGGAGUGAAAGUCCUGCUUUUAAGUUGGGAAUUGCUUUGGAUACUGUCGGGCUUGAGUGCAGGAGAGUUAAGCGGAAUUCCCGGAGUAGCGGUGAAAUGCGUAGAGCUCGGGAGGAACACCAGUGGCGAAGGCGGCUUACUGGACUGUAACUGACGCUGAGGCGCGAAAGUGUGGGGAGCAAACAGGAUUAGAAACCCGUGUAGUCC
rnacentral:rRNA from 1 species